rnacentral:rRNA from 1 species
AUGGAUCUCCCCUCCAAUUUCGAGUUGGUUGAUAACAGUACACUCACCGAAAUCACAAAGUUUACAAUCAAACACGUGUACUUGCAUCACAUCUAUUCCGGGCCAAACCCAAAUCAGUUACAAAUAAUAGCCGGCACUAAUGGGUUUGGCUCGACUUUUGUUAACAGUUGGGAAAUAUAUGAUGGGGUCGGCCCUAAGGCACAGAGGUUGAAAGAUGAUCACGGUUUAAGGACUCCACUCUUCAAGUACUUGGAUCAUCCGUUGAGAAAGAAGAGCCGUGCUCUUGCUGUUACGAAGAGUGAAGCAUGGGGUUCACAAGGAAAUUUCGUUCAUGACAUCAACGAAAAACCUUUGCGUCUAAAAAGUGUGACUGUUCACACCAGCGACCUCUUCGACGGAAUUAAAUUUACCUACAUUGCCCAAACUGCGCAGACUCGCACCGAAAACCUUUGGGGUUUUAGUCAAGAUGGAUCGGAGCACACACUCACACUAGGUCCUUCGGAGUUUCUGAAGGGAGUAUCCGGUGUAAUUGAUAACUCCAGUGCGCCGAACUAUUUUCUGCGGUCAAUAAAAUUGGUCACAAAUCAAAGAGAGUUUGGACCUUUUGGUGGAACGCGAGCUGGUACUGCGUUCAAAAGCAGCGUGCCUGAGGGAAGCAUGAUUGUAGCUUUCCAUGACAGCAGUGGCGAUAAGCCGAUAACUGGCCCGGUUCUAGCUGGAGGGCAACCACCAGACCACAACAAGGAAAUUAGAGAAGCAAGGUCCAUGUCCAUUCAAGGAGAGGUUAUUUGA